CGGAGUGGGAUAAUAGCAAAAACAUAACAGCAGAAAAAGAAAAACAGAAGAAAAAACAAGUAGUAUUUUUAUUCAUUUACAUUUCUAUGAAUAGGCGCUGAAAUCCUCCAAAAUAAUCCCAUGAAAUGCAAUUUAUUUAUUUUUUCUACGUUGCAUUAUAAGUGAGAAAAGCUCAGUUUAAAUAAACGCGUUUUCUGAUUUUGUGUCAAAUUUAUUUCACCUAAAUUUACUUUUCAAACAGCCUGGAGGUCGAGGUUCAAUUAACAAGGCCAAAGUUAGGAAAGUUCCUGCACUGUCCUGGACAUGCAAUCAAGCAGCACAGAAAACAAAAGCAAGAUUUAAAAAAUAUAUAUUAAUUUAUGCAGGGGAAAUAAAAAGAAAGCUGAGUGUGUAUUGUUGUUAAGCUCUGCCAUUUUUAUUCCCCCCGCAAAACUCCACAUCGAAAGUCAUCGAGGAUGGAAUAAAAGUAACAAAAAUGAAAACACAAACAGGCCUGCAGAAAAUCCUCUUAAAUCUUUUCAAAAAUGAAUUCUGGAUAAAGGCUGAUCCACGUGAAGAGGCCGCAGAAAGCAACCAUGCAGGAGAGGGAGGGGGAAAGGCAGAAAUUACAAUAAUAAAGGAAAUAAAUUCAGAAAUCAACCCAUCGAUAAUAAACAAAUGCCAAACAAUAAACACGGUCCAUUUCCAACAACAAGCUGCUCGAGUACACAAACACUGAAUACAUGAAUUUUUCCGUGUGACGCGAGCAGCAGUCCACUAAAGCAGCAGUAUGGGCGCUUUGGAGACACAUUAUUGAUUGGCAUUCCCUCGAGGAGGAACCAGUCUGCAGCAGUCCGGUGCCGGUGGCCACGGGACAAAACUAAUUUGGCCCGGAGAGCUUCUUGAGAACUCAGCAAGGAAUCGAAUGCAAGAGGAAAAAAGAAAACCCCAACGCAUGAAAAUAUUGCUCUUUCUUUCCUCACAAAAAAAAAAUUCACAUCUCGGCGUCUCCGUUUGCAGGCGAGUAAAGAAAAAGAGUGCUCCCUGCUCGCUGUGAAGCAGAGCAGUGCCACAGCGCCCACUAUUUCAAAAGCCGGAAUAUUAUUUCACAAGACUUGGAACGGCUCUAUAUUUAAAAAAAGUUGCUAUCCAUUUCGAAAACUUUCUUACUACCUUCAGGAAAAGGAAUCCUGCGUCUCCACUGUAACGACCCACCGACAAGCGCAAAAAGCUGCAAAAUACAACGUUUUUUCCCUCGCUUUUGGACGGCGUUGUUAUCACAGGAGCAACUAAAAGCACCAGCGGCGUUUCUCAUCACACAUGAAACUUUUCUUGACACUGGAAACCAGCGACGCUAAGAACCGCAGCAUGCAAGACACACACGGGGAGAGAGAGAGGGGGAAACCGAGGCACAGCAGCGGCAAGCAGGACGCGUUUUCUGGCUGAAAAGUUGACAAAGAGUCGCCCCAUCCUCUCUUAAGGAUAUGGCAUAUGUGUGACAAGGACGCAUUGGACAUCUACAAACGGAGCCGGGAGUUUGGAGCCCCGGCGGCGGCAGAAAGCGAUCAGUAAGAGAGGUUUGGGGAAAAAAUAUAAGACCUACUUUUGGCCAGUUUUCUCGCCCUCGCCUUGGAUCUCAUCUUGUCGGCUUGUAGAUUCCUCUCGUCGUCCUCCGUGAGCCCAGAAGCAGCAACAACACUAUCUUCAUCUCACCAGCAUUAGCUUGCCAGCAGCCUCUUGGAUUUUUUUUUUUUACCCCUUUAACAGCGACUACUUGGUUUUCUCCAACACAGCGGUGGACGCACUGAGGCGGGAGGAGACUUUACGGUAAACCGGUACAUCCAGAGCUUCGGUGCGUAGCUUGAAGGACGACGAGAAUCCCUGGUGGUAGCUGCUCGUUAUUCCUGCGGUGCCUGGGCCUUUAGCCUACAUGUCAUGUGGGAAUGGUUCCGUCUAGUUUAGCUGAAUAAAGGCGGCUCUAUGUUGGAGCCUAUUAACAUUGGUGGUGAUGGAGCGACUGCAGUCUGCUGGGAGAGGGGAGGGAUCAGUUCCCUGGACGCGAUCACAGUGCAAAUCCAUGCACAGACUAUUAUUAUUAUUAUUAUUUCUUUUGUUAUUAUUUUGCACGUCACUCCCAUAAUAACUCCGCCUGACAUCUACUUUGUUGCUCAUUCUAAUGCACAUGAUGAAGAACAAAUUGAUUUGAAUAAAGACUUGAGCUCAUCAAA